GAUGAAGAACUUAGCGAAAUGCGAUAAGUAAUGUGAAUUGCAGAAUUCAGUGAAUCAUCGAAUCUUUGAACGCACAUUGCGCCCCCUGGUAUUCCGGGGGGCAUGCCUGUCCGAGCGUCAUUACAACCCUCAAGCUCAGCUUGGUGUUGGGCCCCGCCGCCCCGGCGGGCCCUAAAGUCAGUGGCGGUGCCGUCCGGCUCCGAGCGUAGUAAUUCUUCUCGCUCUGGAGGUCCGGUCGUGUGCUCGCCAGCAACCCCCAAUUUUUUUCAGGUUGACCUUGGAUCAGGUAGGGAUACCCGCUGAACUUAAGCAUAUCAAUAAGCGGAGGA
rnacentral:misc_RNA from 1 species